rnacentral:rRNA from 1 species
GGGCCCGCACAAGCGGUGGAGCAUGUGGUUUAAUUCGAUGCAACGCGAAGAACCUUACCUACUCUUGACAUCCUGCGAAUUUGGUAGAGAUACCUUAGUGCCUUCGGGAACGCAGAGACAGGUGCUGCAUGGCUGUCGUCAGCUCGUGUUGUGAAAUGUUGGGUUAAGUCCCGUAACGAGCGCAACCCUUGUCCUUAUUUGCCAGCGCGUAAUGGCGGGAACUCUAAGGAGACUGCCGGUGACAAACCGGAGGAAGGUGGGGACGACGUCAAGUCAUCAUGGCCCUUACGAGUAGGGCUACACACGUGCUACAAUGGUCGGUACAAAGGGUUGCCAACUCGCGAGAGUGAGCCAAUCCCGAAAAGCCGAUCUCAGUCCGGAUCGGAGUCUGCAACUCGACUCCGUGAAGUCGGAAUCGCUAGUAAUCGUGGAUC